GGGAUUUAUGCUGUUAAGAUCAUGUUUCAAUUUAAGAAUGCCAUCAACAUCAAGAUUCUGAAAUUUGGGGGGCCUGGGAUCAUAAAAUUGUGAUUGUAAUCCUCUUUUCUUCCUAGCAAAUAGGUCAGAGGCAUGGCUUGGUUUUACAAGGGUUGAGACCCUAACUGGAAUUCUACCGCUCUUUUAUUUCCUUUCCCCCAUUGCCUCGGCUUCGAUGUGCAGCAUCUGUUAUCAGGGGUGGAAAUUUGUAGUUGCGAGUUUCUCAUCAUGUUCUCAAGCUUCCAAAUUAUAGCCAUUACAUGACAGCAACACCCACAGUUGCAAGGGGGACAUUGCCUUUCACAUUUUGCUGCCUGGAUCUUGGGUGUUUCUCUUCUGUUGAUGACCAAUUUUACUUUGUACUUAACAUUUCUUUUGUAGGAUGUCCAACAAGAAGGGUGCAAAUAAAUUAUAUUUUUUUCCACGUUGUUAUAUACCUGCAUUUCAUCUACGAAGUUCAUCAUACGAAGACCCUUGUCAUUAGAGUUUAUAACAACUUCAGCGUUUGCAGAUUUCUUUGAUGACUUUCCUGAAUUUUUAACUUGUUCGAAAGCAUCCAUAGGCACAAAGGAUGGCAAAACAGAAAAGUCUUCUGAGAAUAGCGUGGACUUGUCCAGUGGGUAGCUAUCAAAACACGUACUAUUGGGGCUGGUUUGCCCAAGGACAUUCUGCUCAGUUACACUGGAACACACUGGAGCGCUUAAGCCUCUCAAGCUUUGCUUUCAUCAGGGUCAGGAUCGUAAACCUUGUCUCCGUAAUAGGGUAUUGCAUUGAAUGCUUUUACUCUGCACACAAGGGAAUACAAAAAGCAAGUAGGUAAGUAUUCACCUGGAACAGUGCAACGCACAUAACCAUCCAGAAAACAAACAGCAAAACAAAAUAUCGAACUUACUUUUCAACGGGAUCUUCUUUUCUUCUGCAUUUAAGCCAGAAUUUUAGCUGCGGUACAUUCCAUUUACCUACAUCUUCUGAAUUACCGACCAAAAAACAUGGGAUAUCAUCUGGAGUGAGAUUUAAACUCAUUUCUUGCAAGGCUUUGUCUUCCAUGACACUUAAUUUUCCCGCACAACUUUUAAGACUUGCGCCAGAUGGCCCUUAGGCGUCACUUCCAUGUAACUUCUGGUGAUGGGCUGAAUCUGUGCAUUGCAAAGGACUCGAAAUACUAAGUACACUGUUUUAAAAAUGUGUUGAAGUGUUUGUUCAGUUUUGGAAUACUUCUGUUACCUCGAGCAAAUGCUAAAGCCAACUAUUUCAAACAGAAGAUCGUGGAAAACAAAGAUAACAUAAAAAAUCAGUGGAAAAUAUUGAAGCCAGUCACACAAGCACUGAGCCAUGUAAUCAUUGACAAUGGGUGUGAUGAUUAUUUUACAUCAUUUACUUCUUCACCAAUGGAGAUGAACUUGAAUUUUACACGUCUGGUUGCAAAUAACUAGCUCCUCCAUCUCAUCAACAACAGCAUGUCUGAGACUGUCACAGAUGUCUUCAAAAUUCCAACAAUGACAGAGAGGAUAAUUGAAAAUGACUGGAAGAAUAUCCCAUCUCACAAAGCCACUGGCCUAGAUAGCGUCAGUGUUCAUAUACUAAAAGAAACUCUACCAGCUGCACUUCACAAAAAAGAUUCCACUACUGACUUCCAAUCCUUUCUAAACCUCUAGAACAACACGUAUCUGCAACUUAUCAGAAACACCUGUUAAAGUAUAAUCUGCUGUGCAAACAUCAGUCUGCUUGUCGACCUAAUUAUUAAUGUGAAACUGCAGUAAUUAACAUUACAGAUCGUUGGCUCAAGGAAUUGGACAGAGGAAAGCUUAUUGGAGCCAUUUUGCUUGAUUUAAGCAAGGCAUUUGACUUAGUCAAUCAUGACAUUCUUCUAUCCAAAUUAUCAAUGUGCUUCACUAGAGAGUACACUAUGCAAUGGUUUAAAUCAUAUUUGAGCAAAUGCUGGCAGAAAUGUAUUGUAUUAGGGAAAACAUCAAUGCCACUUCCUCUAAUGUACUAGGAGUUCCACAGGUAUCCAUUUUAGGUCCAUCAUGUUUUUCAAUGUACGUAAAUGAUUUGCCACUUUCUAUACAAAAUUCUGAAAUUGAUGUAUGCCAAUGACACUACCAUCUGGUCAAGUGGUAACAUGUGUGAAAGCAUACAACAAUUACUACAAGAAAGUCUAAAUAAUGCAAAUUGUUGGUUCAGCCUUAAUUUAAUGGGAUGAAGCCCAAUGCCAAAAAAGUAAGCAAAUGUUAAUUCUAAGUACUCAAAUCCUCGUUGUGCGGACAAGACCUGCAUAAAUUUAUUUUGGAUUGAUACCAAACUAAAGGAGGCAAUGGGGAAAAAGCCUCUUGGGACUAGGAUACACAAAAAUCUCACUUGGAAUUUGCGUAUUGAUUAUGUUAUCAGCAAGCUGAAAGUUCUGCAAAAUUUAUCUGUUCAAAAGGUGAAAACAUUUUCUAUCUUUGCACUGUAGGAAAUUAUUGUUAGUAUCAUUCCCUUGUAAAACCGACUGGUUAUUUCAUUUUGCACUGAACAGUAAGACUACUGUAGAUCAAAUAGUAGGGUUGUUUGAUACAAAAUCUUUUCAAACAAAUGUCUUGAUUUUUGAAAAAAUGGUAGACUACAGUUGACAGUGGUAAGGGCAUUAUGCAAUACUGGUCAGAAAAAAAAUGACAUUGAAUUUCAGCACUAAGAAAUGUUUGCAACCAAAAUUGCCCCUCAAUCACAUGUGAAAAGAGUUGAUACACUUGUUUAGCCAGUCAUUUUAGACAUUUUAACAUAAAUACCUUUUGUCCCUCUCCACCUAUCAAUGUUAUUUCAGGAUUACUUUGAAUUCCAACCUUUGAGCAACAACUUUGACUAACCCUAACCCUAACACUGUACAAAAAGUAAAGGAUUUGUCUUCCUAAAAGCAAUGGUUUGUAAUUUAUAUUUAUAUUAACCUAUAGAUAAACAUAAAGUAAGAGUAAAUCCGACACUAAAAGAAUUAAUGUACUUUGUGCUGAUAGUAUGCAACUUGAUCUUGGUCUUAAAUUGUCUCAAAGAAGUCUCUUGUUUUUGGGACUUCAAGAUUUGGAAGACCGAAGGCCAUAAUCGUGUCGGUUUGUGAUAAAGUUAACAAAUUAGACAAAUGAGAGGGACGUUAACAAUUUACUACCUUAAACAUCAUUGUAGUCUUAUGUUGUCUCAUUUCUGUUUGGAAUCCCAGCCAAGUUCACACCAAAUAUCUUUGCAGUGUUUCAAGUGCCAUGCCUGAAACUUAAAAUAUUCUACAGUACAGUACAGUACAGUCAAGAGCCCUCCCCUACCCCACCACUUUAACAAGGUGGUAGAGGAGACCAAACAAGAGGUACUCCAGCCUCUAACUGUAAAGACCCCCUACCCCAUCUAAAUAGGUCAACAGAGUAGCAGUUAAAACUUCCUUACCCGAUCUGUAUAGGUGCAGGUAAUAAUCAAGACCUCCUGCGCUAUCCAUAGGGAUGGUGGGUAACCUCUGUCCCAUCCAUAUGGGUGGCUUUAAGCAAUAUAGGAGGUGUCACAAUCUAUUGUGGAAGGGGAAGAUGAGGAAUCCAGAGUGGAUAGAGAGUUGUCAGAACUUAGUGAACAAAGACUUUACUUUCUACGAGCUGAUGCCUUGCGGGACAAACAAAAUGCAACAAAGGACAAGGUUUCCCUACAAGAAGCUGUUCAGAGACAGGCACAAGUAGAAAACUCCAGCAACAGUGAUGAUAGUGAUUUUGAAGAAUUUCUAGAUUGGAGAGCAAAGAAAGUAUCUUGACAUGAAGAUGGCUUGUUCUGCAAUUUGGCAUUUUUCACCCAUAUAGCAAUAAAAUAUAGCAAUAAAAUUGUUAUUCUGAUUUA